rnacentral:rRNA from 1 species
AUUGAACGCUGGCGGCAGGCCUAACACAUGCAAGUCGAGCGGAUGAGUGGAGCUUGCUCCAUGAUUCAGCGGCGGACGGGUGAGUAAUGCCUAGGAAUCUGCCUGGUAGUGGGGGACAACGUUUCGAAAGGAACGCUAAUACCGCAUACGUCCUACGGGAGAAAGCAGGGGACCUUCGGGCCUUGCGCUAUCAGAUGAGCCUAGGUCGGAUUAGCUAGUAGGUGAGGUAAUGGCUCACCUAGGCGACGAUCCGUAACUGGUCUGAGAGGAUGAUCAGUCACACUGGAACUGAGACACGGUCCAGACUCCUACGGGAGGCAGCAGUGGGGAAUAUUGGACAAUGGGCGAAAGCCUGAUCCAGCCAUGCCGCGUGUGUGAAGAAGGUCUUCGGAUUGUAAAGCACUUUAAGUUGGGAGGAAGGGCAGUAAGGUUAAUAACCUUGCUGUUUUGACGUUACCAACAGAAUAAGCACCGGCUAACUUCGUGCCAG